AGCGGCGGAGGCCCGGGGCCGGGAAGCCUGGGCGCGCGGGGCGCGCGGGGCGCGCGGGGCGGGCGCGGAGGGGCGGAAGGGGAGGCCGGAUGGGGUGAGGGUAGAACCCGGGAGGGCGCUGUCUGUGAGUGGCGCCAGGAUAGAUGUGCCCAGCGCAGCCUCUGCACACUCUCCUGGGAACAAUGAGACCCAACAAAGGGUUCUCGGCUCUCCCACGUGGUGAACCGCGUCCUUCGCUCGCUCUGCAAAAAGGCGCCAGGCACACUGUCGCCAGGGGAAACCCCAUCAGGCUCCUGACCCUACUUCCUUGGGCUCAGACAUCCCCCUUCAAGCCUGGAAACGGCGCAGGCCCAGAAACCUAGUCCAGAAGUUACCCCCAGGAAACCCACAGCCCCCGAGACACUCUUUCAUAGGGAGCACUCUUACCAUUGCUAAAUUGGGAGCAGUUAUGGAAUUGCCUGCGAUCAUACCUGGGGAAUGGUGCGGAUGCUGUGCCGAGGCCAUCAGACCAUUUGCUUCCCAGACGUGCGCCCUUAGCUCGGACUUUCACUUCUUCAUCACGGUCCUGAAGGACAAAGCGGCCCGUGUUCUCAUUGUGCACUUGUAUGUUGUGCUAGAAGCUUGGCUCUAGAUCCCAGCGUGCGGAGCCACAGUCUGCCUUGACUGCCCGGCCUCUGUGCAGGACAUUUGGCUAGCAAAUGUAGCCUGGAAGUUUGCCUUCUCUCUGCAUAAGGUCUCCCAGCCCCCUCUGCCUUUUGUAGAAGGCAUUCACUGCUUUUGGGUUCCUCACUAAAUCAUAAGCUCCAUGUGAGCUCUAUCUCCAGAUUCUAACUUAAAAAAAAAAAAAAAAAAAUUCGGGGGCACCUGGGUGGCUCAGUGGGUUAGGCCUCUGCUUUCGGUUCAGGUCAUGAUCUCAGGGUCCUGGGAUGGAGCCCAGCAUCAGGCUCUCUGCUCAGCAGGGAGUCUCCUUCCACCACCCCGCCCCCCCACCCCGCCUCUUUGCCUACUUGUGACCUCUCUCUCUCUCUCUCUCUGUCAAAUAAAAUUUAAAAAUCCUAAAAAAAAUAUUUGGGAAGAUGUGCAAAACAUGUGUA